AUUGAACGCUGGCGGCAGGCCUAACACAUGCAAGUCGAGCGGAUGAAGGGAGCUUGCUCCUGGAUUCAGCGUCGGACGGGUGAGUAAUGCCUAUGAAUCUGCCUGGUAGUGGGGGAUAACGUCCGGAAACGGGCGCUAAUACCGCAUACGUCCUGAGGGAGAAAGUGGGGGAUCUUCGGACCUCACGCUAUCAGAUGAGCCUAGGUCGGAUUAGCUAGUUGGUGGGGUAAAGGCCUACCAAGGCGACGAUCCGUAACUGGUCUGAGAGGAUGAUCGGUCACACUGGAACUGAGACACGGUCAAGACUCCUACGGGAGGCAGCAGUGGGGAAUAUUGGACAAUGGGCGAAAGCCUGAUCCAGCCAUGCCGCGUGUGUGAAGAAGGUCUUCGGAUUGUAAAGCACUUUAAGUUGGGAGGAAGGGCAGUAAGUUAAUACCUUGCUGUUUUGACGUUACCAACAGAAUAAGCACCGGCUAACUUCGUG
rnacentral:rRNA from 1 species